AGUGUUAUUCAUUCUCCCUCCUUCCCUCCCUCCCUCCCUCCCUUCCUCCCUCCCUCCCUCUCUCUCUUUCCCUUCCUUCCUUCCCUCUCCCCGUCUCUGUCUUUUCCUGUCUUUCUCCCUCCCUUAUUUUCUCUUUCUUUUAAGAAAAGAUGUAUCCAUUUAUGAUUUUAUGUGUAUGUGUGAAUGCCUGCAUGUAUGUGUGCACCACACGAGUGCCUGUGCCUGCUGCCCACAGAAGCCAGAAGUCAUCGGUUCUCCUGGAGCUGUAGUUGCAGACCCAUAACUGGUGUUACACCCCCACUCCCUGCCACCACAAAUACUGAGUCCAUUCCAGGAAUAGAAACCGCCGAAGGAUUACAUUCUCCACGGAGAACGAUCUCUAUGAAGGAAGAAGAUGGACAAUGUCUAUACGCCAUCUUCAGUUGGUAACGCUGUGGCAGUUAGCAUAACCAGUGCUAGGCAAGAUUCAACCGCACUGGCUGCGGUAUGCGUGGCCAACCGGAGUGAGGACAAAUCCCAUUCCGUCUGAAGACUGUCUCCUGCCAGAGAUCAAAUGCAGCUCGCACAUACAUGACACCAAGCAGAAGCAAGUACUAUUCCAUUACAAAUGAAGCAGAGAGAGCCAGAAUUAUUUGGUCAGCUUGGUAUUCAAAAUGGUUGAGAUUCUGACCUUCCCACUCCUUCCUUAAUUAUCUUGAUAAUUUUGGCAAGAGGAGGUUUGUGGGGUGGAGAGGGAUAAUUCUGAAAGAAUUAAAUAAUUAUAGCAGUCAGGAAAUCCAUCCAGGGUUUUAUAAAUUCCUGCAUAAUAGUUCAAAAUCUCUUGAUUUUUCAUCGUGUAUAAGCUAAAUUCAUUAGCACAUACCUUAGAUCAUCUGUUAGAUGCCUAGCAGUGUAAAAACACAGGGCCUGUGAAGUGUUUUUUUUGGUUUUGUUUUGUUUUUAAUCUUGACUUUUACAGAAUAAAAACUACCACCACCAACAACAACAA
rnacentral:lncRNA from 1 species